GGAGUUGUGGCUCAGUGAUAGAGUGCCCAUCUUGUAUGUGUGAGGCACUGGGUUUGAUUCUCAGCACCA
rnacentral:tRNA from 1 species